rnacentral:lncRNA from 1 species
GCUGACCACAGCUGAACCACCUGAAUGACAUCUGCCUGUAAAUUCCUUCCGCAGGGGAAUAAGAUUGAAGUCAGAGCAUGUGGAAAGUCUAAACCUACACAGGAACCUGAAUAACAAUGGUGAAACCUCACUGGAAUCACUCACAUUAGUGUGAG